ACGGGUGAGUAAUGCCUAGGAAUCUGCCUGGUAGUGGGGGAUAACGUCCGGAAACGGGCGCUAAUACCGCAUACGUCCUACGGGAGAAAGCAGGGGACCUUCGGGCCUUGCGCUAUCAGAUGAGCCUAGGUCGGAUUAGCUAGUUGGUGAGGUAAUGGCUCACCAAGGCGACGAUCCGUAACUGGUCUGAGAGGAUGAUCAGUCACACUGGAACUGAGACACGGUCCAGACUCCUACGGGAGGCAGCAGUGGGGAAUAUUGGACAAUGGGCGAAAGCCUGAUCCAGCCAUGCCGCGUGUGUGAAGAAGGUCUUCGGAUUGUAAAGCACUUUAAGUUGGGAGGAAGGGCAGUAAGUUAAUACCUUGCUGUUUUGACGUUACCGACAGAAUAAGCACCGGCUAACUUCGUGCCAGCAGCCGCGGUAAUACGAAGGGUGCAAGCGUUAAUCGGAAUUACUGGGCGUAAAGCGCGCGUAGGUGGUUCGUUAAGUUGGAUGUGAAA
rnacentral:rRNA from 1 species